rnacentral:lncRNA from 1 species
UACUAUAGCUAUGGUGUAGCUUCCAUCCAAAUGAGUCGCUGUUUGUCUAUUUGUAAAUUACUUUUUGGACAGGUCCGGUGCCCGGUGUGUUCCAGAUAUUAACCUUUGGGGAACGCUGGACCGAGACGCCUCAGAUGCAAGAAGGGCUGGGAAUGCUAUGGCAGAUGCGACGGUAGAUGGGCAGCGGUGCAUGAGCAGCCCACCUCUGGCCAGGUCAGAGGACCCACUCGCCUACUGGCUAAAUCACAGACAUCGUUACACCAACCUUUUCAAGCGGGCCAAAAGAUUUCUAUGCAUGCCAGCAUCUACUGUACCCUGCAGAAGAAUAUUCUCCAAAUGUGGAGAAAUUGUGAGCAAAAAAGAAACUGGUUAAAUCCCAAUACUGUGGAAAAAAUAACGUACCUCAAUAAAAACGUUGAGUCCACAGUUACACAAGAAUACCCAAGCUAUGGCAUAUUUUACCAGCAUUUUCUCCUUAACAAAACAAAGCUCACGUGUGCGCCUCCCGGUCACCAAUCGCGGCUCCAACCCUGCAGUGCAGGGCUCGCGGGUCGCCAGGAGAGGGCGCUAGAACUGCAACUUCAGCCAUAGAUGUUGGUGUGGAUCAGGGGGACCUCAGCUGUCAGGAUGAGGAUCACUGAUCCAUCCCCAGAAGGCAACGGGCCAGUUACAGUGAUCCAGUUUGCCUUGGGGGCCCCGUCUUCAGUCAGAGACACUGAACGCACUGAUUUGUCAGUACUGGUGACGUGGCACUUCAGCAAUGCCCUGGUUCUGUCAACAGGGUUGGCAAACACACGGAGAUCAGCAGGAGGAUAGAAAAGGUGAUGAUCAGGGUUGUCUGUUGUCACUCUUUGAACAGGGAACCAGCAGUGAUGAGCAGCUCACUCUUCCUCUCAACAUAGUUUUAGCUCAUAACCAACACCAGGCUCCUUCAGCUACCUUUACCAGACUGAACUGCUUCUGUCCUCAUCUGAGCUCCAUCAGCAGAUUCAACACUGACAGGAGGAAAUCACUGAGGUCACCAUGACAACGAAACAGGAUGUAGCUUCAUUUGGCUUUACAAGCUGCUGUUGUUAUUCUCUCUGUUACUGUUAGCCUCUGUGUGUGUGUGUGUGUGUGUGUGUGUGUGUGUGUGUGUGUGUGUGUGUGUGUUCACCUGUUCUUUUUUCUGCUUCUUUUAAUUUGAUCUGAUGGAUCAUUUCUAGACAGUAUCUCCUGAUGAAUUGUCCAAACAAAUGGUUCCGAGCCUCAUAGCCGUUCCACGAAUCUUUAAUCAUUUCUGCAGAAGGAGACAGGGCUUUCCAUUUCUGAGCUCCAGCAUCAAACUGAAUGAAACCCUCUCCAUUCACUGCCCAGUUGUCAAAAGCAGAUUCAAGCCUCUCGUCUGACGUGAUGCAGCCACGCCGCCGCUGAACAUCUACAAGGAUUAUUUUAUGUAAAAUGUUCAGUUCAUUUUCACCACAAUAAACACGUUAUAAAGCAAAUGUGCUACAAACUUACUCCGUGUGUGAUUGGUGAAUUUAGAAAUCGCUUUGAGAGCAUCAAAAACAUCAUAACAUGCUGGUCUGCAGGUCCCAGGUAAGUUGUGGGAUUCCAGGACGGGUUUGAAGUGUUCUUGUUGUGUCCCACUGUCACAGUGAGAGAUCACAACUCCAUCAAACUCUGUAACUUGUUCAAAAUGGGGCCCAGAUCCAGGCUGAACACGUCCUGUAGACAAGAACUCAAGAGAAUGGGAACCUGAAACACACAAACAAAUGGAGUCAAAACUCUGGACCCUCACAGUGGGAUCAGCGGUUCUGAUUUUUUUAAAAGAGAUGAAUCAACAUUCAAAAACAUUUAGAAACUAAUAAACUUUCUAAUUUCACAUGAUUGAUCACUUCAGAUUAAUCUGUUAAUUCUUUACAGGAUCGUCAGUGCACAAAUGUACAGAAAAGGCAGAUUUGAACAGCAAAGAACUUAGAAAUAUGAGUAAAAACAUUCAAAAAUAAAUUUCCUCUCCUUUAUUAAAGCUUCCACAGGACUAAGGACAUUAACUCAUGAAGAUGUUGCUCAUGCAAACACAUCUUCAGCCAAUAGUAAAUAGAUCAAAUGAACUUCACAUCAACAAUUUUAGUUAAUUAAAAUAAUUCCUUCAUACCUUAAUGGAUUACUAUGACCUGGCUGAAUGAAAACCUACAUGGAGAUAAACAUUAACAUUUAAAUUUAUGUUCAGAUUUGGGUUCAUCUUUGGCAUUUAGGCUCAUAAUAUUUUUUAAUUAA